rnacentral:lncRNA from 1 species
GUGUUCAACCCCUGGCGCGCGUCCUCUUUCGCAGGUCCUUCGAGCAAACGCCUCAAGAAGUCCGACCUGAUGGCCACGCUGGACGCUUCCGGUCAGCAGCCAGAUGCCGACUGGAACCUCUAGCUUCACCCGAAGGCCUCCUUCCGCUGUACACAACUGUACAAACUGACGCGAACAGGACUUCCUGGCAAAGAUGCCUGGCCGCUGUGCGUGGACUGCGUGUGUCCGCUCGUAUGUCACUGAGUGAUCAUUUGCUGCCACGUAUCGGUGUCAUCGACGCUGCUGGAGCUCGAGUCAAGAUGCCCUUGUGCGACGCAUAUUGCGCUCCGUUCCAUGGCUGCCCCAGCUUAUCUACUCUUCAUUUGUGCGGAGGCACCGGCCAACAGCAAUGAAG